rnacentral:rRNA from 1 species
GACGAACGCUGGCGGCGUGCUUAACACAUGCAAGUCGAACGGAAAGGCCCUGCUUUUGUGGGGUGCUCGAGUGGCGAACGGGUGAGUAACACGUGAGUAACCUGCCCUUGACUUUGGGUUAACUUCAGGAAACUGGGGCUAAUACCGGAUAGUAGCUCCUGCUGCAUGGUGGGGGUUGGAAAGUUUCGGCGGUUGGGGUUGGACUCGCGGCUUAUCAGCUUGUUGGUGGGGUAGUGGCUUACCAAGGCUUUGACGGGUAGCCGGCCUGAGAGGGUGACCGGCCACAUUGGGACUGAGAGACGGCCCAGACUCCUACGGGAGGCAGCAGUGGGGAAUAUUGCACAAUGGGCGGAAGCCUGAUGCAGAAACGCCGCGUGCGGGAUGACGGCCUUAGGGUUGUAAACCGCUUUCGCCUGUGACGAAGCGUGAGUGACGGUAAUGGGUAAAGAAGCACCGGCUAACUACGUG